rnacentral:rRNA from 1 species
AACGUAGGACGCAAGCGUUAUCCGGAGUUACUGGGCGUAAAGCGCGUGUAGGCGGUAGCGUAAGUUACCUAUGAAAGCUCCUGGCUCAACUGGGAGAGGAUAGGUGAUACUGCGAGACUAGAGUGUAACAGAGGAACGUGGAAUUCCGGGUGUAGUGGUGAAAUGCGUAGAGAUCCGGAGGAACACCAGUGGCGAAGGCGGCGUUCUGGGUUACAACUGACGCUAAGACGCGAAAGCAUGGGGAGCAAACAGG